CAGUCGCCACGGUAAUACGAAGGGGGCUAGCGUUGUUCGGAAUUACUGGGCGUAAAGCGCACGUAGGCGGACAUUUAAGUCAGGGGUGAAAUCCCGGGGCUCAACCCCGGAACUGCCUUUGAUACUGGGUGUCUAGAGUAUGGAAGAGGUGAGUGGAAUUCCGAGUGUAGAGGUGAAAUUCGUAGAUAUUUGGAGGAACACCAGUGGCGAAGGCGGCUCACUGGUCCAUUACUGACGCUGAGGUGCGAAAGCGUGGGGAGCAAACAGGAUUAGAUACCCCUGUAGUCCCUGUCUCUUAUAC
rnacentral:rRNA from 1 species